CCCAUUCUGCAUGGAGCACUGGGUGUUGUGCACAAACAAUGAAUCAUGGAACACCACAUCUAAAACUAAUGAUGUAAUGUAGGGGAUUAACAUAAGAAUAAAAAAAAGAAGAAGAAAAGCACACUGGUAUAAGAUUGAGAUUUGGGUUUUCUAUGUUAAAAUGACAAGGUUUUCUUGGAUUGUUAGUGUACUCUUUUUUUCUUUCUUAAGAUUGUAUUUAUUUAUUUGACAGAGAGAGACACAGCGAGAGAGGGAACACAAGCAGGGGGAGCGGGAGAGGGAGAAGCAGGCUCCCGGCCAAGCAGAGAGCCCGAUGUGGGGCUCGAUCCCAAGACCCUGGGAUCAUGACCUGAGCCGAAGGCCGACAGACGCUUGACGACUGAGCCACCCAGGCGCUCCUCCGAGAUUUUAUUUUUUAAAUAAUCUCUACACUGAACGUGGGGCUCGAACUCACAACCCUGAGAUCAAGAGUCGUGCUCUCUACCGACUGAGCCAGCCAGGUGCCCCUGGACUGUCAUCUCGAAGAGACACAUGCGUAGACUCAGAUAUGGCCCUGCUACCAAAUACUGGCUGUCUCUGCAGAAGUCUGGACUCAAGGUCAACUGAUAAUGGCUGCAGCCUAUGAAGAAGCGAGGUCCUGAUUCCUUACCUGAGAAAAGGAGCCUAAGACCCCAUCCAGGUUGUACCAGCUCUCAGAGCAUGCCCACAGCCUCUUCUCCUUGUCCUCAGAUAACCUCCUGACAUCAGGGACUCAGUUUUGCCUCAUUCAGAUGUCAGGUCUCCACCCCGAAGUAAACAUGGGAAUCUAUGAGAAAUUAGAUCCCAUCCAGCAAGAGCUGAAUCCGAGUCCUCUGCUCACCCCACGACGGAAAAGAAUAUGCACAGGCCUGCAUCCCUCUUCUCCUUCUCCACCAUGUCGGAAGAAAAGAUUUUACUGGACAGAGACACAGCGAGAGAGGGAACGCAAGCAGAGGGAGUGGGAGAGGGAGAAGCGGGCUUCCCGCCGAGCAGGGAGCCCGAUGCGGGGCUCGAUUAUCGGGACCCUGGCACCCUGGCACCCUGGCACCCUGGGAUCAUGACCUGAGCCGAAGGCAGACGCUUAAUGACUGAGCCACCCAGUCGCCCCCCACUUUCCACCUUGACCGUGCCUAGUCGUCCACCCGUCUAGUCCUCUUGGCCGCGCCUGGUCUUGCCCUCGAAUGUGUUCGUCUGGAGCACAGAGCUAGAUCCAGAGAAUGAGAGAAUGAGAUCGAUGGACCCACGGACGGAAAUCAAGUUUCUCUUUCCCUGAAAUGACCUAGGACACUCCUCUUCUAGUCAGCUCCCAUCCUGCUCCCCCACCCCCAACAACCUCUCAUCGGACCUUCCCCUUUUGCCACCAGAAAGCUUUUCCACUCCUCCGCCUGGCCUGCGUUUGCUUGGCGUCUCUGCCAGACCCAGGCGGUGGUGGCCGACCGCAGACUCUCUUGCCCUCAAGAAAUGAUUCCCGCUCUCAUGUGGGUGAUCUUUUAUCUCCACAGAGGUGGCUCACAAAGCUGCACAACCUUCACUGCAAUUUCCAGAACAUUUCCAUCACCGCCAAAAGAAAUAAACACCUCUACUACCCCUCCCCCCUUCCUGUCCGCGCCUCGCCCCCACCCGCCGUCACCGUCGCCCUCGCCGUCACCGUCGCCCUCGCCCUCACCCGGGCUCUCUUCACUGUUCUCCCCCAACAGGGAGUAGAAAGGGAAGUUAGAGGGAACAUUCUUCCUCCCCUACACCUGCUGAACGCACAUGGACACACACCGCAACCCUCCCCGCCAGGCGCGCGCACCCACCCACCCCCGCCCCGCCAAGCCCCGCCCCGCCACGCCACGCCACGCCACGCCCCCCAUCCCGGCCUUACGUGUACCUUACGUACCUCUGCACGGACUCGAGAUUUGGCAAUAGCCUUGAUUGCCCUGCAAUGUUUCCAAACCUCGGCGCUCCCCAACCUUCCCCACCCCGACCCCCGCCCCUUCGAAGAAGAACUAACCUAAUUCGGGGAGCUUCCAGGUUGCUUGAACGCCUGAAAUGGUGGGGACAGAGGCGUUCCUGGAGAGGGGUCACGGAACACGGAAGCUCUGCCCCCCUUCCCUUUGCCUCUGUUCCAUCUGGAGUUUCCUCAGUUGUAUCCUUUUAGGACACAGCGGUCAUGUAAGAAAGGAGAAAAAAAAGGACUGAAGGACUGAACCGGGCUAGACUGGUUUAAAAUUCUUCACUAGCGUCCCUGCCGAAUACAUUUCGACGACAGGGGCCUUCGCACGGCUUUUGGUGCACAGAAGACCGAUGCACCGAAGCCUGCCGAUCUCGGGACGUGUCCACGAGGGGAAAGAGUGUCAGCCUAUCGGAAAAGAGAGUCGGUUAACGUAGAUUGCAAAGGCAUUCGUUCAUCCCGAGAGACUUCCUCUCCAUGAUGGCGGGUGGCGCGAGAUGGAAGAGUUGGCUUCCAUGAAAAAGGGGCCCUUUCUUGAAGACCCUGCCCAGCUAUCGGGGUUUUGUUGGUUUGUGUUUUGUCAUCUGUGAUAGGAAGGCAUCUUCUUAGCCAUCGGGAGGGAAACCUCAACAAAUUCAGCCAUUCAGAUCACAAGGGAUUUCUUGGGUUUGGUGGAUCUGAGAUCUGGUCUGCCUCCGACUGCUCCCCGAGAUUGCCUUUAUGCCGAGAAUGGGAUUCCUCAUCAGACACACAGAAGUCCGGCUCCUUGCCACGGAGCUGGCUGCUCUAUGGAUGCCUUUAAAAAGGAAGCCUGCCUUUAAUUCGGACGUCGGAACGUGAUCGGUCGCUUUUUCAUGGGGGGUUGGCCAAUUAAAUUUCCCCCGCCUUGGGCGCCUGGGUGGCUCAGUUGGUUAAGCGGCUGCCUUCGGCUCCGGUCAUGAUCCUGGAGUCCCUGGAUCGAGUCCCGCAUCGGGCUCCCUGCUCAGCAGGGAGUCUGCUUCUCCCUCUGACCCUCCCCCCUCUCAUGUGCUCUCUCUCAUUCAUUCUCUCUCUCUCUCUCUCUCUCUCUCUCUCUCUGUCUCAAAUAAAUAAACAAACAAACAAACAAACAAAUAAAUAAAUAAAUAAAAUCUUAAAAAAAAAAAAUUCCCCCCGCCUUACAAAGCAGAGACUGGUGAAGGGUCCUCCAAGUGCCCUCUGGAAAUCAAGAGCUUCUGUAUCAAGAGGCUGGAAAACGCAUCUUCCCCUUCUUCCUGGUGAAUCCAAUUCUAGGGGUUGAUUCAAAGGAAAUCAUGUUUUAGAUGCUAAAACGUAAAGCUUACUUUUGCAAAAAUGUGCAUCGCGGCAUAGGGUUUAGGAAUCCCUUGUGGCAGACCGACAACCGUGUGUCCCUCACGUCCCGGCACGUGUGCACCCUCACGUCCUAUGACUUCGAUGCUCCUGCUAUCCAGAGAGAGAGACACAGCGAGAGAGGGAACACAAGCAGGCGGAGUGGGAGAGGGAGAAGCAGGCUUCCCGCCGAGCAGGGAGCCCGAUGCAGGGGCUUGAUCCCAGGACCCUCGGAUCAUGACCUGAGCUAAAGGCAGACGCUUAACCACUGAGCCAUCCAGUCAAAAUAAUGAAGAAGAGGAGGAAGACAGGCCGAUGCUAGAAAUCUGAAAUCCACUCCUCCUCCUCCCCAAGUACAGGCACCAGAACCGAUGCCCAACCCACUGGCUUCCGGAGGGCUGAAAAGCCACCACAGACAAAGCCUAUUAAGCAGAAGGAGAUGAAGAAAGGGGCGGAGGCGGAGGCGGAGGCGGAGGCGGAGGCGGAGGCGGAGGCGGAGGCGGAGGCGGAGGCGGAGGCGGAGGCGGAGGCGGAGGCGGAGGCGGAGGCGAAAAAAAAGAAAAGGUUCGUCCAAAACUGUAAAUGUAUAUGUGCCCUGGGCCUUACCAAUGGCUCCCUUGCCGCCUCCCCUGCCCCGUUUCUGCACCACUGGUGUGUGUGCCUGGAGUGCUCUACUCCCCUGCCGCCGUCUCAGCCGCCCUUCCCUACCCCCGCCCCCCCCGCCCCCCCCCCCCCCCGGGUGCCAUGGGCUCCCCUUUCUCCUCCUCCUCCUCCUCCUCCUCCCCACCCCCUUAUCAAGGAGCAAAAGCCCUUGCCCUUGGGCCCAAGCCCUUGGGCCACCUCCUUAUGAGGUUUAAAUUGGAGCACCUCCCAAACUAGCAGGAAGGGGCCCGAGGGCUCCGCUGAUCUUAGACCGCCCGCUUCAGACUUUCCCCAAGGAGUCUGAUGGGGGAAAACAAUCGAUUGACUUUUUAGUGGACGCAGGUGCAACUUCUUUGGCGUUAAAGCCAAUUCAAGGUUGUUGGUUUAUUUUAAAAAGACGUGGUUUUGGAGCUAUCAAUGUCACACAUAAUACAAAUAAUCAACUUUGCGUUUCUUUCUUUCUUUCUUUCUUUCUUUCUUUCUUUCUUUCUUUCUUUCUUUCUUUCUUUCCCUUUUUCUUUCUUUCUUUCUUUCUUUCUUUCUUUCUUUCUUUCUUUCUUUCUUUCCUUUUCUUUCUUUUCUUUGUCAUAAAAGCACUUGGAUUCGGUUCUCCCUGCGUUACAAGCCGUUGGGUGGGCAGUGGAAUGUGCCACGCUCCCGUCACAACAGUGAGCCUGUAUUUGUGGUUAUCAAAAUAUACCUCUCCAUCACCUUUAUAAAAACCAACCAACCAACCAACCACGUUUGGGUGCCUGGGUGGCUCAGUCGUUCAGCGUCUGCCUUCGGCUCAGGUCAUGAUCCCAGGGUCCUGGGAUCGAGCCCCGCAUUGGGCUCCCUGUUCAUUGGGGAACCUUCUUUUCCCUCUGUCCCUUCCCCUGCUUGUGUUCCCUCUCUCGCUGUGUCUCUCUCUGUCAAAUAAAUAAAAUUUAUGAAAUAUAUUCAUACAUUUGCCAAUCUAAAGAAUUCUGGUGUAAUAGAGAGUGCGCCAUUGGUUACUACUAACGUUUCACCAGAGACUGAGAUUUCUAAGAAUUAAAAUUCUGCCACAUGGAAUUGGGACUGCUACAAAAUGAUAACAAAAACAACUCCGUGUGUGGGAAGGUAGGAGACGUGUAAAAGAGGUACAAGAAAUGAGAAAACAUUUUUUUUGUUGAGGGAAAAGGAAGUAAUGGUGUACUGAAACGGGACUGGGUACUUAAAGAAAGAAAACUUUAAGACCGAGUCUGAAUGAAAAAGGAAAUUGUGGAAGGGGUUUGUGAAGGAGAAUUUUUGAAAAGGAAUUUUAUGCAUGGUCAGGACUGACUGAGCUUGGGAGAAGGCAGUUUGAAAAGCACACUGGUGGAACUGGAGGGUAUUAUGUUGAGCGAAAUAAGUCAAACAGAGAAAGACAUGUAUCCUAUGAUCUCACGGAUAGGAGGAAUUCUUAAUCGCAGGAAACAAGCUGAGGGUUGCUGGAGUGGGGGGUGGGGUGGGAGGGAUGGGGUGACUGGGUGAUAGACACUGGGGAGGGUAGGUGCUCUGGCAAGCGCUGUGAAUUGUGCAAGACUGUUGAAUCUCAGAUCUGUACCUCUGAAACAAAUAACGCAAUCUAUGUGAAGAAGAAAAAAAAAAUAGAAGAAGGUAGCGGGAGGGGACGAAUGAAGCGGGGGAAAUCGGAGGGGCGGACGAACCAUGAGAGACGAUGGACUCUGAACAACAAACUGAGGGUUCUAGAGGGGAGGGGGGUGGGAGGAUGGGUUAGCCUGGUGGUGGGUAUUGAGGAGGGCCCAUUCUGCAUGGAGCACUGGGUGUUGUGCACAAACAAUGAAUCAUGGAACACCACAUCUAAAACUAAUGAUGUAAUGUAGGGGAUUAACAUAAGAAUAAAAAAAAGAAGAAGAAAAGCACACUGGUAUAAGAUUGAGAUUUGGGUUUUCUAUGUUAAAAUGACAAGGUUUUCUUGGAUUGUUAGUGUACUCUUUUUUUCUUUCUUAAGAUUGUAUUUAUUUAUUUGACAGAGAGAGACACAGCGAGAGAGGGAACACAAGCAGGGGGAGCGGGAGAGGGAGAAGCAGGCUCCCGGCCAAGCAGAGAGCCCGAUGUGGGGCUCGAUCCCAAGACCCUGGGAUCAUGACCUGAGCCGAAGGCCGACAGACGCUUGACGACUGAGCCACCCAGGCGCUCCUCCGAGAUUUUAUUUUUUAAAUAAUCUCUACACUGAACGUGGGGCUCGAACUCACAACCCUGAGAUCAAGAGUCGUGCUCUCUACCGACUGAGCCAGCCAGGUGCCCCUGGACUGUCAUCUCGAAGAGACACAUGCGUAGACUCAGAUAUGGCCCUGCUACCAAAUACUGGCUGUCUCUGCAGAAGUCUGGACUCAAGGUCAACUGAUAAUGGCUGCAGCCUAUGAAGAAGCGAGGUCCUGAUUCCUUACCUGAGAAAAGGAGCCUAAGACCCCAUCCAGGUUGUACCAGCUCUCAGAGCAUGCCCACAGCCUCUUCUCCUUGUCCUCAGAUAACCUCCUGACAUCAGGGACUCAGUUUUGCCUCAUUCAGAUGUCAGGUCUCCACCCCGAAGUAAACAUGGGAAUCUAUGAGAAAUUAGAUCCCAUCCAGCAAGAGCUGAAUCCGAGUCCUCUGCUCACCCCACGACGGAAAAGAAUAUGCACAGGCCUGCAUCCCUCUUCUCCUUCUCCACCAUGUCGGAAGAAAAGAUUUUACUGGACAGAGACACAGCGAGAGAGGGAACGCAAGCAGAGGGAGUGGGAGAGGGAGAAGCGGGCUUCCCGCCGAGCAGGGAGCCCGAUGCGGGG